UCGAUCAACCACUGAGGGCAAUGCUUAGGCCAGACAAAAGUAGAUAGGCGUGUCAGCAUUCUCCAUUAGUGACCAUCAAUCCCGAUCACCCAACUUGGCAAGCUUUCUUACUGUCUUUUGCUUCGCUUUCCCAACACCCGCACAGCUUUGACUUACUUUGAUGUCACUGUAAGAAAACGUGCAAGCAGAAGUAAGUCCAUUGAUCAAGGUUGGUACAGGAAAUGCACCUGGUGACUGAAGCUGAGAAGAAGAACUGGCAGAGGUUGCCGAGAGAAGAGUACCCAAAGGCAAUGGUGUUCCACGACGGCAGAAUGGCGUUCAAGCCCACACCAAUGGCCACACUCGCC
rnacentral:lncRNA from 1 species